rnacentral:lncRNA from 1 species
UAAGAUUUGUUCAAUAUCGGGCAUAGCGGGACCGUUAUUUCAAGAAUUGCAGAGGGAAACUGUGCCAGCGGCUUGUCCCUGCGUGUGGACAGUUGACGGCAUCUUUGUUGACGGCUGCUCAUCGCCAUCCUGAAGUAUGAAUGACAUCCUCGGGACUCCCGCGUAUCACAACGAGGAGAGCAAGAAAGAGUUUCAAAGUGCCAAGGACAAACCCGGCAUUCAUAUCUACAAUCCCAAAACACCGGUAGAACUGCAUCUCCCAGGAGGAAUACAAAAGUUCAACGACGUCUUAAUGG